GACGUAGGGGGCUAGCGUUGUCCGGAAUCAUUGGGCGUAAAGCGCGUGUAGGCGGUCCGGUAAGUCCGCUGUGAAAGUCGGGGGCUCAACCCUCGAAUGCCGGUGGAUACUGUCGGGCUAGAGUACGGAAGAGGCGAGUGGAAUUCCUGGUGUAGCGGUGAAAUGCGCAGAUAUCAGGAAGAACACCCGUGGCGAAGGCGGCUCUCUGGGACGGUACUGACGCUGAGACGCGAAAGCGUGGGGAGCGAACAGG
rnacentral:rRNA from 1 species